CCGGACUUUGCGGGCGGGCGGGCACUGGUGAGAAGAGGAAGUGGGAGAGGCCUGGGAAGGAAACUUGGAAACCGAAAACUCGGCGGCCGAGGCUCCGUGCCCCGCGCGCAGCGCUGCUCCUGCCCCGGCCAAGGACGCACGGGCCAGCCGGCGGAACCAGAGGUUUUCAGUGAUGUUGAGAGUCAACAGGAAAUUAAUCAGCAAGUAGAAAAUUGAAAGAAGAUCUGCAUCUUACUGCAGGAGUCAUUAAAAUAAAAGCAGAUUUGGCAAAAUGGCAAGAACCAGAGGAUGAGGAUGUAAAACAAAAACUUUUGGAGUCAUUUUGCCACCAGGAUGAAAAUAGGAUGAAGCUGACAUGACAAAGGUGCAGGUGUUCUGAUAUGAGAAGAACUUCUUCAGAAGGUAUCUUAAUGCAUAUGGGGAAACUGAGGCCCAGAUUGCACAUACAUGAGUUGCCCUGGAAAAUCCCAAGUCAAAGAAGCUGCACUGCAGGAAAUCAGUAUGGUGCAGGCCCCAGGCAAGGCAUCACUGACUACACUUGCAAGAAACAAACGCCUGCAAAAAUCAGGACAGGAUGAUUUUGAAGCUGUGCAAAACAGACAUGGCAGAGGAGACACAGCAAUAACUAAGGGGCAACUAUUGCAUCCAGAAAAAAAAAAAAUGAAGAUAAUGACUUCUCUGCAACUAAGAUGAAGAUCCACUGAACUUUGGGGUUUGAAAUGCAACGUUAGAACUUCAGACUCCCGGCACCUAGGUCUCCAGCUGCUGGGUGGUGCCAGCAUCAGAGAUACACUCUGCAAAACAUAUACUGUCUUAGGAAAAAGUGACCCUGUUGUCCUUUCAGGCCCAUAUUCCACAAGAAGACAAAUGGAGAUGUAAAAGGAAAACUGCAGCUCCGACUGAAGAGAGAGCAAGUUGUCUGUUCUGAUACAGCCAGGAAAUAAGAUGUUCUGGUUAAUAUGUGCUAAAGAUGUGGUGCUGACUUUCCGACUCAGAAUAUGAUCACAUGUUUUUCUCAUUAAAACUAUAUUGAAUAUUAUUUGACCAUUGUUGAGUCAGUCAUCUUGAUAAAUAUUAUCUUCGUACAGUCCUGAGCAGAGAGUCAGUGACUAGAAUGCCACUGAAACCAGCUUUUUAUAGGACACGGUUUUCAUGGUUUUAGGGCAUGGAGAAACUU
rnacentral:lncRNA from 10 species